rnacentral:rRNA from 1 species
UACGUAGGGGGCAAGCGUUGUCCGGAAUCAUUGGGCGUAAAGAGCGUGUAGGCGGCCAGAUAAGUCCGCUGUGAAAACUCGAGGCUCAACUUCGAGCUGUCGGCGGAAACUAUCUGGCUAGAGUCCGGAAGAGGAGAGUGGAAUUCCUGGUGUAGCGGUGAAAUGCGCAGAUAUCAGGAGGAACACCGGUGGCGAAGGCGGGUCUCUGGGCCGAUACUGACGCUGAGGAGCGAAAGCGUGGGGAGCAAACAGG